GAUGUUAUUGAGUUGUCGCUGAGAAGUUGCUAGUAUGUAUCCAAUAAUUAUGGAACUUCUAAUACAAUAAGAUCACACAUUCUGAACAAACUUUUCUACUUCAUUAAAAACUAGAGUAGCUGAAAAGCUUUUCACUUUGUUUUUCUUGAGUACUUACAACUUUGUAUAAUGUGAAUUCUUUAUCUUUUUUCUCCGCCUUACUUUGGUGAUGAUGGCUUGGUCUGAGAGGACUUACCAGUGAUGGCUUUCUUCACCUUUGCAAUUGAGUGCUUGACUUUUGAUCCAACUCCUGACAAUAUGUUCUGAUGUUUCUUGGGAGGAACUUUGAUAUCAGCAUCUUUGGAGAUUUCUACGAUCACUGGAUCUUCAGAACUUGACUCAUCUCUUGUUUUUUGAAUUCCCUCCUCUUCUCUGUCGCUGCCUUCUCUUUCUUCAGCAAAGUCUUCCUCAAUUUUUGAUGCCUCUUUUGUUGAUACAUGCACAAGAUCAGAUAGUGUGGCCUUAGCUUGUGUCUCUCUCGAUAUGGAUUCCUCUGGUACUUCUUUUGAAUCACAUUCAACUUCUUUCUUGUUUUCAUAAUUUUCCUGAUGUUGUUCUGUUUCAGAAAUUUUGCAUUUUUCCUGCAUGUACUGGAUAUUUUUGGCCUCUGCACCCAGUUCCACAUGUGGGGUAAUGCUGUCUUUGGGAGUACCAUUGGCAUCAGUGCUGCUUGUUGGAAUAGUUUCCUCCCUCUCCAAUGUAAGUAGAGGAUAUGCUGCUUGCUCUUGUAUCUGCUUAGUUGUAUUGCUCUCAUUGCUCACCAUGUCAUCCAUCUCCUUCUCCGAAACCGUAACAGAUUUCAAUGAUGUGAAAUGUUCUGUUACCUUUGUCUCAUUGCAUGUUAUCAUCUCUCCGAAACCUGCUGCUGUUUUUCGUUCUGAUCCAAAAGGUUCCAAACUUUUUCUUUCGGGUUCACUCAUUGUUGUUUCCUCCUCUUUUCGCACCUGUGUUGUGUUGUUUGAGGAAUCUUCACCGGUGGUCUCUCUUAAAUCUUCUUCUUGUUCCUCCUCUUUGAUUGGAGUCUUGAUUUCCAUCGCAACACAUUCACUCUUUGAUUCUGUGGCCUCUUCUGAGAGGUUUGUCUCAGUACGUUGAUGAUUAAUAUUGUUAUUGUCAUCAAUAUCAACUUUCUCCAGUCCUUCUAGCUUUUUGGAUGUUUGUUCUCCAGCAGGUGAAUCUUCAUUCUGCUCUUCUGUAUCCAUGACUGCACAUGUGUUGUGUUUUAUAUGCUGCUUGUGAUCAUCCUUUUCAACUCCUUUCAACAUCAUUAUGCUUUGGAAUUCAUCUCCCCUGUCAAUAUUUUCAUCUGUCUUCACUUCUGAAUUUUCUCCCUCUUUUAACUUCUCUUGGUUGGUUCUGAGGCUAUUUUCUUCUUCAAGGCAAUCCGCACUGGAAAUAUCCUCUGUUUCUGAUUUGUCAAUGAUCUCCUGAACAGGUGCAAUGUAAGGCUUCUCAGUAUUGGUGUCUGCUAUUCCUCCUGCCUGUUUCUCUUCGCCUAGCUCAGCUAACUGAUGCUUCAGUUGUUCCUGUGGGCCUGCACAGCUUUGUAACAUAUUGGUGCCUGUAACUACUGCUGCUUUGUUUUCUUCAGAAAUCUCAAAUGUCUGAUGGAUAAGUUCUUCUGUGGAUUCAGAUAUCUUUUCACUGUUUCUUCCAUUUGUUUCUUUUUCAAUUGGAGUAUCGAGAAUAUAGCUAAUAUCUAUUUCUCUGUUUUGUAGCUCAAGCUUAUCUGCAUCUGUGUACUUAUGAUGAUUUUGGAGCCCGAAAUCAGAGCUUUCAACCUUGUUAGUACAGUCCUCCACCCUCAUUUCUUCUGAAGAAAGUUCAGUUACGUUCUCUGCUCCACGGGCGUCAUUAGCCUCUUCUGUGGUUAGAUUGGCUUGCCGAACAUUCUCUUGAUUGGGGAUUUCUGAAACCACUUUGCCUUCUUCAUAGUUAUUUGCUGCCAUCUCUUGUUUGACGGAUGUUGGAAGUUCAUCAAGAGUCAUUUCUUCUUUUUGUAGGGCAUUAUUGUUUGACUCAUCACCAGCAUCGAUAUCUUUAAGUUCUUUUAUCUCAGUUUCAACUUCUUUGCAAGGUUGUGCUGUUUCUUUGACAAACCGUUCUGCCUGUUUUCCAAUCAAACCUUCUUCUUUCUCUAUUAUAUGUGUUUGAGAUUCAUCAAUUCUUUCAGUGGCAGCUUGUGUCUCUUCCCUGUUUUGUUUUUUGGGUUCUUCAUCAAUUGGUGGUUCUUUAGGUUUCUCUUCAAUUAUUGGUUCUUCAAGUUUCUCUUUAACUGCUAGUUCUUCAGGUAUCUCUUUAACUGCUGGAUCCUCUGGUUCUUCAGGUUUUUCUUUAAUUGUUGGUUCUUCAAAUUUCUCAACUGCUGAUUCCUCAGGUUUCUCCUCAACUGAUGGUUCUUCAUGUUUUUCAUCAACUGCUGCUUCUUGAACUGUAGCUUCUUCAGGUUUCACCUCAACUGUUGGUUCCUCAAGUU
rnacentral:misc_RNA from 1 species